AGGUUGCGGAUAGGAUUCUCAACGCCACCAGUUAUCCAGGCUUGCAGGUCAUUGACUAUCUUUGACAUUUGGUCGUCGUACAUUUGUUGCAGUUGUUUACAUUGCAACUCCAAUGAAGGAUGUGCUUCUCGUGUCUGAAUGUUCCGUGAUAACCUGCAGGGCCCUACGGUCAGUCCUGUUUACACUAACAAAGGUGGUAAAACUGCGGUGGACUACUACGCUAUUAUCAUAUGUGUUCCAAAGUUUCAACUAUACCAAGCUGUCCGGGAACUAAGAAAGGUACCUUCUCUCGUGCACUAGCUUUUCGUCAUUUUGUCCUUACCUCUUUUAGUUAGAAACAAGUUGAUUAUUAAAUUCCUCAGGUCAAUGUUCAGUACUUCCAGUCUACUAUACGUCGCCAAAAGGCAUACAGCAACUUCACUGAAAAUUAAAACAAAGGAACGCUGAACUUUUCUACGUUUGACCUGGGUUUCAGGCUGGAGGUAGUGGUGUGUUGGUGUCACCAUUGACGUAUAUUUUUGACGAAGAGACUCCCAGGUAUCGGCAAUUAUUGGACAAUUUGCAGAAGUAGAUCCAUAUGCAAUUCUCAUCCAUUUGUGAUCAA
rnacentral:lncRNA from 1 species